UGGGGAAUUUUGGACAAUGGGCGAAAGCCUGAUCCAGCAAUGCCGCGUGUGUGAAGAAGGCCUUCGGGUUGUAAAGCACUUUUGUCCGGAAAGAAAUCCUUGGCUCUAAUACAGUCGGGGGAUGACGGUACCGGAAGAAUAAGCACCGGCUAACUACGUGCCAGCAGCCGCGGUAAUACGUAGGGUGCAAGCGUUAAUCGGAAUUACUGGGCGUAAAGCGUGCGCAGGCGGUUUGCUAAGACCGAUGUGAAAUCCCCGGGCUCAACCUGGGAACUGCAUUGGUGACUGGCAGGCUAGAGUAUGGCAGAGGGGGGUAGAAUUCCACGUGUAGCAGUGAAAUGCGUAGAGAUGUGGAGGAAUACCGAUGGCGAAGGCAGCCCCCUGGGCCAAUACUGACGCUCAUGCACGAAAGCGUGGGGAGCAAAACAGGAUUAGAUACCCUGGUAGUCCACGCCCUAAACGAUGUCAACUAGUUGUUGGGGAUUCAUUCCCUUAGUAACGUAGCUAACGCGUGAAGUUGACCGCCUGGGGAGUACGGUCGCAAGAUUAAAACUCAAAUGAAUUGACGGGGUCAUAGCUGUUUCCU
rnacentral:rRNA from 1 species